rnacentral:rRNA from 1 species
AGAGUUUGAUCCUGGCUCAGGAUGAACGCUGGCGGCGUGCCUAAUACAUGCAAGUCGAGCAAACAGAUAAGGAGCUUGCUCCUUUGACGUUAGCGGCGGACGGGUGAGUAACACGUGGGUAACCUACCUAUAAGACUGGAAUAACUCCGGGAAACCGGGGCUAAUGCCGGAUAACAUGUUGAACCGCAUGGUUCUACAGUGAAAGACGGUCUUGCUGUCACUUAUAGAUGGACCCGCGCCGUAUUAGCUAGUUGGUGGGGUAACGGCCUACCAAGGCGACGAUACGUAGCCGACCUGAGAGGGUGAUCGGCCACACUGGAACUGAGACACGGUCCAGACUCCUACGGGAGGCAGCAGUAGGGAAUCUUCCGCAAUGGGCGAAAGCCUGACGGAGCAACGCCGCGUGAGUGAUGAAGGUCUUCGGAUCGUAAAGCUCUGUUGUUAGGGAAGAACAAAUGUGUAAGUAACUGUGCACAUCUUGACGGUACCUAACCAGAAAGCCACGGCUAACUACGUGCCAGCAGCCGCGGUAAUACGUAGGUGGCAAGCGUUAUCCGGAAUUAUUGGGCGUAAAGCGCGCGUAGGCGGUUUUUUAAGUCUGAUGUGAAAGCCCACGGCUCAACCGUGGAGGGUCAUUGGAAACUGGAAAACUUGAGUGCAGAAGAGGAAAGUGGAAUUCCAUGUGUAGCGGUGAAAUGCGCAGAGAUAUGGAGGAACACCAGUGGCGAAGGCGGCUUUCUGGUCUGCAACUGACGCUGAUGUGCGAAAGCGUGGGGAUCAAACAGGAUUAGAUACCCUAGUAGUCC